GCCCGCGUAGCUCAACAGGCAGAGCAGCCGCCUUGUAAGCGGCCUGUUGCAGGUUCGAGUCCUGUCGCGGGCU
rfam:Alicyclobacillus acidocaldarius subsp. acidocaldarius DSM 446, complete genome.